AGUCGAACGAAGUAGCAAUACUUAGUGGCAGACGGGUGAGUAACAUGUGGGUAUCUUCCCUAUGGUGAGGAAUAACACGAGGAAACUUGUGCUAAUACCUCAUAAGUCUUUACGGAGAAAGCUUUAUGCGCCAUUGGAUGAGCCCGCACUUGAUUAGUUUGUUGGUAGGGUAACGGCCUACCAAGACUGUGAUCAAUAGCUGAUUUGAGAGGAUGAUCAGCCACAUUGGGACUGAGACACGGCCCAAACUCCUACGGGAGGCAGCAGUAAGGAACCUUGCACAAUGGAGGAAACUCUGAUGCAGCGAUGCCGCGUGAGUGAAGAAGGCCCUUGGGUUGUAAAGCUCUUUCGUCGGGGAAGAAAAUGACUGUACCCGAAUAAGAAGGUCCGGCUAACUUCGUGCCAGCAGCCGCGGUAAUACGAAGGGACCUAGCGUAGUUCGGAAUUACUGGGCUUAAAGAGUUCGUAGGUGGUUAAAAAAGUUGGUGGUGAAAUCCCAGAGCUUAACUCUGGAACUGCCAUCAAAACUUUUUAGCUAGAGUAUGAUAGAGGAA
rnacentral:rRNA from 1 species